AUUGAACGCAGGCGGCAGGCCUAACACAUGCAAGUCGAGCGGUAACACAGAGAGCUUGCUCUCGGGUGACGAGCGGCGGACGGGUGAGUAAUGUCUGGGAAACUGCCUGAUGGAGGGGGAUAACUACUGGAAACGGUAGCUAAUACCGCAUAACGUCGCAAGACCAAAGAGGGGGACCUUCGGGCCUCUUGCCAUCAGAUGUGCCCAGAUGGGAUUAGCUAGUAGGUGGGGUAACGGCUCACCUAGGCGACGAUCCCUAGCUGGUCUGAGAGGAUGACCAGCCACACUGGAACUGAGACACGGUCCAGACUCCUACGGGAGGCAGCAGUGGGGAAUAUUGCACAAUGGGCGCAAGCCUGAUGCAGCCAUGCCGCGUGUAUGAAGAAGGCCUUCGGGUUGUAAAGUACUUUCAGCGGGGAGGAAGGCGAUAAGGUUAAUAACCUUGUCGAUUGACGUUACCCGCAGAAGAAGCACCGGCUAACUCCGUGCCAGCCGCCGCGGUAA
rnacentral:rRNA from 1 species